CCCCUCUCAGGGUCGCAACUGGAGAGUUCCCAGUACUCUACCAGUCUCGGCUCUGGGAGGGACAGUCAAGCAGAGGCCUACCCACUACAUUCCUAGCUUGGCCAGUGGCUAGCGAGUGGUUGGCGAUCUGCUACAAGU
rnacentral:snoRNA from 1 species